GACGAACGCUGGCGGCGUGCCUAAUACAUGCAAGUCGAACGCAUUUUCUUUCACCGUAGCUUGCUACACCGAAAGAAAAUGAGUGGCGAACGGGUGAGUAACACGUGGGUAACCUGCCCAUCAGCGGGGGAUAACACUUGGAAACAGGUGCUAAUACCGCAUAAUUCCAUUUACCGCAUGGUAGAUGGGUGAAAGGCGCUUUUGCGUCACUGAUGGAUGGACCCGCGGUGCAUUAGCUAGUUGGUGGGGUAACGGCCUACCGAGGCUGCGAUGCAUAGCCGACCUGAGAGGGUGAUCGGCCACACUGGGACUGAGACACGGCCCAGACUCCUACGGGAGGCAGCAGUAGGGAAUCUUCGGCAAUGGACGCAAGUCUGACCGAGCAACGCCGCGUGAGUGAAGAAGGUUUUCGGAUCGUAAAACUCUGUUGUUAGAGAAGAACAAGGAUGAGAGUGGAAAGUUCAUCCCUUGACGGUAUCUAACCAGAAAGCCACGGCUAACUACGUG
rnacentral:rRNA from 1 species